UCGAGCGAACAGACGAGGAGCUUGCUCCUCUGACGUUAGCGGCGGACGGGUGAGUAACACGUGGAUAACCUACCUAUAAGACUGGGAUAACUUCGGGAAACCGGAGCUAAUACCGGAUAAUAUAUUGAACCGCAUGGUUCAAUAGUGAAAGACGGUUUUGCUGUCACUUAUAGAUGGAUCCGCGCCGCAUUAGCUAGUUGGUAAGGUAACGGCUUACCAAGGCAACGAUGCGUAGCCGACCUGAGAGGGUGAUCGGCCACACUGGAACUGAGACACGGUCCAGACUCCUACGGGAGGCAGCAGUAGGGAAUCUUCCGCAAUGGGCGAAAGCCUGACGGAGCAACGCCGCGUGAGUGAUGAAGGUCUUCGGAUCGUAAAACUCUGUUAUUAGGGAAGAACAAAUGUGUAAGUAACUAUGCACGUCUUGACGGUACCUAAUCAGAAAGCCACGGCUAACUACGUGCCAGCAGCCGCGGUAAUACGUAGGUGGCAAGCGUUAUCCGGAAUUAUUGGGCGUAAAGCGCGCGUAGGCGGUUUUUUAAGUCUGAUGUGAAAGCCCACGGCUCAACCGUGGAGGGUCAUUGGAAACUGGAAAACUUGAGUGCAGAAGAGGAAAGUGGAAUUCCAUGUGUAGCGGUGAAAUGCGCAGAGAUAUGGAGGAACACCAGUGGCGAAGGCGACUUU
rnacentral:rRNA from 1 species